rnacentral:misc_RNA from 1 species
GAUGAAGAACGCAGCGAAAUGCGAUAAGUAAUGUGAAUUGCAGAAUUCAGUGAAUCAUCGAAUCUUUGAACGCACAUUGCGCCCGCCAGCAUUCUGGCGGGCAUGCCUGUUCGAGCGUCAUUUCAACCCUCGAGCCCGACUUCCUUGCGGAGGACGGCUCGGCGUUGGGGGACGGCACACUCCCCCCGGCUCGCCGGGGACGCCGCCCCCGAAAUUCAGUGGCGGCCCUCGGAGGCGACCUCUGCGUAGUAACUCAACCUCGCAAAGGGAAGCUCCGAGCGGCCACGCCGUGAAACCCCAUCUAUCUCAAGGUUGACCUCGAAUCAGGUAGGACUACCCGCUGAACUUAAGCAUAUCAAUAAGCGGAGGA